GGGGGGGGGGGGGGGGGGGGGGGGGGGGGGGGGGGGGGGGGGGGGGGGGGGGGGGGGGGGGGGGGGGGGGGGGGGGGGGGGGGGGGGGGGGGGGGGGGGGGGGGGGGGGGGGGGGCGGGAGAGGCGGAUGGGGAGCGCGCCCGGGGGCCGCAGCAGCGAGUGGGAUGUAGCGCUGGAUUGCUGCGGUGGGAUCCGGCCCUGUUCGUCCCGGAGAAGCCAGAUGGUGCCGAGGCGAGCGGCGGGGGGGGGGGGGGGGGGGGGGGGGGGGGGGCCCGGAGAAGCCAGAUGGUUCCGAGGCGAGCGGCGGUCGCCUCGCGUCGUCCUCACCCGCGAGGCGCGCAGUGGUACGGCCGAGGAACCUCUCCUUCCCCUCACCCAGCAGGUCCCAGCGAGGGGCGGGAGCUGCCAUGUGCCAGCGCUUCCCCCAGCUGUGCCGCCCGCCCGGAGCGGCCGCUCCGCCUGCGGGGUGCAAAUCGAAACGUCUCCUAGUGUUUUCCUGACGGGCCAUGUUUUUUCUUAGUGAGGUAACAGCCCAGGGAACAGGUCUGGGGUAGGACAGGGGACACCCCCGUCACGCUGACUGCAGAGAUCACCCCACAGCCGCGAUCACCCCACAGCCGCAUGGGUUGGAAGGGACAUCCCACAGCCACACAGGUCAGGAGAUCAUCCCACAGCCACAUAGCUUGGGGGAUUCAUCCCACAGCCACACAGGUUGGCGGGGAUAUCCCACAGCCACACAGGUCAGGAGAUCGUCCCACAGCCACACAGGUCAGGAGAUCAUCCCACAGCCACAUAGCUUGGGGGAUUCAUCCCACAGCCACACAGGUUGGCGGGGAUAUCCCACAGCCACACAGGUCAGGAGAUCGUCCCACAGCCACACAGGUCAGGAGAUCAUCCCACAGCCACAUAGCUUGGGGGAUUCAUCCCACAGCCACACAGGUUGGCGGGGAUAUCCCACAGCCACACAGGUCAGGAGAUCGUCCCACAGCCACACAGGUCAGGAGAUCAUCCCACAGCCACACAGCUUGGAAGGGACAUCCCACAGCCACACAGGUUGAGGGGACAUCCCACACCCACACAGUUUGUGGGGAUUACCCCACAGCCACACAGCUUGGGGGGACACCCCACAGCCACACAGCUUGGAUCCCACGGCCAGUUGCAUUGCCAGAAGAACAAGUUGCUGAACUGUACCCUCGAGACCCAGAGAAAUCACCAGGGAAGUACAAUUUUCUUGCCUUAUGUUUAAAUCAGGCACAAAAUCAGAAUCUUCCAGAGGCCAGGUACUUUUCUUCAUGUGUGAGGAGGCUGUGUGUGAUUGGAGGAGCCUGUCUUUUAACAAGGCAGGGAAAAAAUCAUUCAAAUAUAUAUAAAUGUCUAAUAUUGCCACAGAAUAUUUAAUCUUUGAAGUGUUUUGGAAGGAGCAGAAAUUUUUAGCACUGUCGACUUUGUUUAAAGUGCAAGUGCAUGAAAUUAUAUUCAUCAAUAAAAUCAGGAUAAGUCAUGUUACUAAUAGAGCUCUAGUGAUAAAUAGAAAAAAAAUACAAAGAGAUGGAUUUUGUAGGAGCCAAUCUUGCUGAGUAAUAAGAAUGGUUUUUUAUUUUGGCAUUCCAGCUCUAGCCUUGUGUUGCCUCUGCUGUUUUGAGCCGCAGAACAAGUGAAAAUCUGGCGUUUCGGGGCAGUGGUAUUCCUCUGGCUGGUGAGGCCGGGGGCCGUGGGUUGUAGUUCAGCUCUUGGUCGUUAGAUGCCGGUAGCUCCCCGGGCAUUUCGGGCUCUGGGUUUUCUGACGUGUUCAAGUGCGAGGUGAGAGCACAGCCGGGACUUCGGGCUGGUGUUUUGGUAGAGGAACACAGGCAGCGCACUCCUUGCAUGCUGUCCGACUCCAAAAAAACCCCAAACACAAUCUCCCUGGCCAAAAAAAUCCCAUCAAAACAACCCAAAACCACACCACAACAGAAAAAGAGAUUUUUGACUGAAAAUGAAGGGAGCCCAGCUCCAAAACUCAAGGCUAAAUUUCUCUGAGCCAUUGUACUACAACUGUGAGGUGUAAAUAAAGCAGCAGGGCAUUGUCAGGUUGCUCUCCCGUUUGUUCUGCCUGUGCCAGCUGAGUACAGGCACAGCAGUGCACUGUUUUGUUGGCCUGAUGCCACGAGAGGCUCUUUGUAUGCAUUAGUGGCUCCCUGUGCUGUGGCAAGGUCAAGUCCUACUGUUGAUGUGUGCAGGGACAGAAGUGCAGUCUGCUUGUGAUUAAGAUUAUGCAAAGGAGUGCCACUGACAGCACACCCUGCUUUGCUGAAAGUGCCACUGUGUUCCUAGGUUUUGUCAGUGACUGCAAGUAAUGCUCUUUGAAACUAUAGAUUCCCCACGUGCUGUGUUGCAUUUCAGUGGGAUACAGGCCUUCUGCAAGUUUUCAAGUGCAACAUUCUCGAGCAUUUUUUCUAAGAGUUAGUAUUAAUUCAGCUGAUGAUGACACUUUGGGGCAUUUAAACUGUGUGUACCUCUACUGCAGAAUGUUUUCAGUGAUAAACCAAAUUAACUGAAUAAUGCAUUAACUAAAAAAGAAAACAAUUAAGUAAGGCCGUCAUAGUUAACAAUGUGCAGUUCCUUCUAACUGCAGACCUUUCAAGCCUUUUUCAUCUCAGUCUCCAAGCACAGAACCUCUUGAACAAAAGCUUCCCUAUCCAUUUUGUAGAUGAGGAAACUGGAACAACAAAAUUUGAUGAUAUGUACAUGAUCAUGCAGGAAGUCUGAUACAUCUGGAAAUUAGGGCUGGGUGGGUUCCUGAUCGCUAUUCUUGUGCCUUCACUGCCACAUUAAUUUUUCCAUUUGCUGUACAGCUUUUUAUGGGAAUGGUGGUGUUGCUGUUUUUCACAAGACAGUCUGAGCUGGUGUCCAGAUUAGAAUAAUGGCUUUGACAACUGUUUUCUCAUUGAUAAAGUACCAUAAAAAUGCACAGUGCUUUCAAGCAAGCAUGUGUCAACAAAGAAUGCAAUGCCUGUUCCUUGACUUAAAAGUUACUUUUGUGAGCAUGGAGUAGAGUUCACAGGAUGCUAUUCCAUGGACUUCCACUGUUUUUUCUGAAGUCAGUGAGGCUGCAGCUAUAAAAGUGAAGUCUGAAUUUUGCCUUCUAAUUUCAAAGUAAACAUUUAAUAAUCAAAUAAACAUCAGAGUGUAUUUUGUGCUGGCUUUUAACUCAAUGAUAUGCAGCACUGCAGUUGAGAAGGCUUUCAUUGCAGCUAUGUCUCAGCUUGACUUGUAAGAUUGCUAAAGGAAUGUCUUGUUCUCAUGCCAUAUUUGUCUUGCUCUUUUUUUUUUUUUUGUAAUAUAUUUGGGGGGGGGGGGGGGGGGGGGGGGGGGGGGGGGGGGGGGGGGGGGGGGGGGGGGGGGGGGGGGGGGGGGGGGGGGGGGGGGGGGGGGGGGGGGGGGGGGGGGGGGGGGGG
ensembl:lncRNA